AAUUUACAGGGUGAAGACAAUAAUCUUGUGAGAGGGACCUAGAGAAGGACAGAAGAAAGAGACUGGAGAUGUUGGCUGCAAUCCUCUUCACACUAGAAGGAAAGGAAGACACAGUAAGGAGCUGCUGACCCAUGCACCUUCCUGAAGGCAAACAAAGUUAUGUACAGAUGAGUGGACACUGAAGGAACACAGACUUCAUGCAUGUGAAGUCAUACCAUGUGAGAGAAAUUAUCUAGAUA
rnacentral:lncRNA from 1 species